UUUUCCUUUCAAAUGAGGCCAGCUCCUCAAGCCAUUAGGCUGAGUUGCAUCAGCUGUGGCUCUGGCUUGGGGAAAUUAAAGGUGAGCACCUGUGCCAGCUCAGCAACACCGCAGUGCAUGAGCACGUAGAAGAAGUUAAGCUGCUGGGGAGCGAACAAGGCUGGAGCCUCAGUGAUGCUGGUGGAUCAGAUAACUGCUGAAAGUUUUAAACAAACCAGAGCUCUGGCAGGACCUUGCUAGACACUUCAUCCAAACAUAUCAUCUUACAACUCUGAUAAAAGGAUCUGCUGGAUUUUCUUUUGGCUGAGAUAAGACAUUUGUAUUCAUUGAAACCAAUGUUAAUGCUGCUGCUGUGCCCCUGUUAGCUCAGUCCUUUACUGUGUCUUUGGAGUGCGGAUGAUUCCCCGACUGCACAGGACAGACAACUGCACAAGGGCUGCUGACUUCCGACCAGAUAAGGUCCCAACAGCUUGAGCACAGGA
ensembl:lncRNA